GACGAACGCUGGCGGCGUGCUUAACACAUGCAAGUCGAACGGAAAGGCCCGGCUUUUGUGGGGUGCUCGAGUGGCGAACGGGUGAGUAACACGUGAGUAACCUGCCCUUGACUUUGGGAUAACUUCAGGAAACUGGGGCUAAUACCGGAUAGGAGCUCCUGCUGCAUGGUGGGGGUUGGAAAGUUUCGGCGGUUGGGGAUGGACUCGCGGCUUAUCAGCUUGUUGGUGGGGUAGUGGCUUACCAAGGCUUUGACGGGUAGCCGGCCUGAGAGGGUGACCGGCCACAUUGGGACUGAGAUACGGCCCAGACCCCUACGGGAGGCAGCAGUGGGGAAGAUUGCACAAUGGGCGGAAGCCUGAUGCAGCAACGCCGCGUGCGGGAUGACGGCCUUCGGGUUGUAAACCGCUUUCGCCUGUGACGAAGCGUGAGUGACGGUAAUGGGUAAAGAAGCACCGGCUAACUACGUG
rnacentral:rRNA from 1 species